AAUAUAUAAUACGGUUAGGGAUUCUUGGCCUCUCCUCGAUUCUAGGUCCUACGUGGCGUAUCUAAACAUUCAGUAUUCAAAAUUCCUACAUUUCUAGAGCUUCUGACAUAAUAUUAGUCAUCCUAUGUGGCAAAAUACAUCCUACAUGGCAUAUCUUAUUUUAAUUCUUAAAACACAAAAUUAAGUAUCUCUCCUCCCCAAAUUCAGUUCCCCUCAACCACCCCCCGUCUCCACACUACUCUCCCCUCCCCGUCUGAAUCAGCGCCGCCCCUCCUUCCUCCGCCGUGAAUCCCUCCCCUUCGUUUAUCUAUUAUUUCUGCAGCUCCACACCAGCCUCUCCCCUCUCCCGCGGCGAUUACUCCGGCCCCAACUCGGCACCGUGGCCCCUCCUUCCUGUUCCCGCGUAGCAAUUUCUCCCUCUCUUCCGCCGCGAUUCGCGUCACCGCCGCUGCCGCAAUCGCCAGAGAUCUACUCCGAUCUGCCACCGCGGCCCCUUCUUCCUGUCUCCGCGUAGCAAUUUCUCCCUCUCUUCCGUCGCGAUUCGCGUCACCGCCGCUGCCGCAAUCGCUAGAGAUCUGCUCCGAUCAGCCUCCCACUCCACCAAUUUCUUCAUUCUGCCUCCCACUGCGAUUCGCUUCACCGCGCCGGCCACCGCCGAGAUCGACAUAGUCCGCCACCUCGCCAUGGUAAGUAUUCAAUUAGGAAAUGUAAUUAUUGACUAUGAUCAGUGCUCAAUUUUAGAAUAAUGAAAUUUUGGAAAGAUUUACCAAUCGAUCAAUAAUCUGCCAAUUUUUAGGGUUUAGAUUUAACAAUGGAAAAUUAUUAUGCUAGGAAAGAUUACAUUUCAUUAUGAUUAGUACUAAAUUUUAGAAAUAUGAAAAUUUGGAAAGAUUUACCUAUUGAUUAAUAAUCAGCAAAUUCUUAGGGUUUAGAUUUAACAAUGGAAACUUUAUAACCUACAUUUUAGCUUAAAUUCAUUAGUUUGAAUGAGAAAUUUUAUUGCCGCAUUGAGUUUUACAGCAGCACAUUCUACUGUCUUCUUGCUUAUUACUCCUUUUGCUUAUUUUUCAAGGUAUACAUCAUAUCAAUUUUAUUUUAUUAAUGUUUUUUUUAACUCAAUUAUCAGAAUAUACGUAUGAUGAACAAUUUCGCAUAUUAAACUGUAUUUGAGAUUUGGAUUUCGAAUAGUAGUAUUUGAGCUAUAAAUUAUGCCUCGACUAUUGGCCGUCCUUGAGCCUGGAAACCGUUCGACGACGCGCAGUCGUGCCAUCGGCUCGGGUCCAGCGAACUGCCGUUGUUCUCCAAAACUCGGCGAGGGCCGUUGUUCAACCUUGCCUAGGUUAUGUUAUCUUGCUCGAGGAAGAAACGGAGAGUGCUCGGUUGUUCCCCUUGGCUGUUGCAAUACGAAGAGUUAGUUGGGAUAAGCUAAAGGCGAUGAGCUUCUCUCUAACUCAUUCCCAUAUAAGGAAAUCGAGAAUGGAAUGUUGUCAGAAGUAGAAGGAAAGUGGGUCAUUCAAGAGCAACCUCCUUUCGACAAAAAACAGUUCAUAUCAUACGUAAAGAAAUAUAUCAAGAACUUAAUCCCCAAGCUUCCUGAAGCCGAGAAACAAGAGCAGUUCAAGAAGGGUAUUGAAGGAGUUACAACCUUGGAAGUGAAGAAGGUUGCAGCAAGAGAUAUAGAGGAACAACCGAACUUAUUUGAGGCAACGAGUGCCGUUCUUUCUGCAGAACCAACCACCAGAUCAUAUUUGUAUAUAAAAUUGAGAUCUCGUAGGAUCAUUAGUGUAGUAGGUUUCUCCUUCGAAUUGGAUUUGUAUGUGUCUUCUCAGAUUACUAUGUGCCAUUAAUAAAUAUCUGUUAUUCAGUAA